rnacentral:tRNA from 1 species
GUCUGUGUAGCUCAGUGGUAGUAGCGCUGCUCUGAAAAUGCAGAGGACGUUGGUUCAAAUCCAACCGCAGACA